CAAGUGACCCCGGUUUACCACCGGGAUGUUCACAACCCUUUGUUGUCCGACUCUGUUGCCUCCGGGGCGACCCUGCCUUCGGGCGGGGGCUCCGGGUGGACACUUCAAACUCUUGCGUAACUUGUCAGUCUGAGUAAACUUAAAUUAAUAAAUUA
rnacentral:misc_RNA from 1 species